UACAGAGGGUGCGAGCGUUAAUCGGAAUUACUGGGCGUAAAGCGCGCGUAGGCGGCUUUGCAAGUCGAGUGUGAAAUCCCCAGGCUUAACCUGGGAACUGCAUUCGAGACUGCAUAGCUAGAGUAUGGGAGAGGGAAGUGGAAUUUCAGGUGUAGCGGUGAAAUGCGUAGAUAUCGGGAGGAACACCAGUGGCGAAGGCGACUUCCUGGCCUGUUCUUGACGCUGAGGCGCGAAAGCUAGGGGAGCAAACGGG
rnacentral:rRNA from 1 species